UACGGGGGGGGCAAGCGUUGUUCGGAAUUACUGGGCGUAAAGGGCUCGUAGGCGGCCAACUAAGUCGGAUGUGAAAUCCCCAGGCUUAACCUGGGAACUGCAUCCGAUACUGGAUGGCUUGAAUCCGGGAGAGGGGUGCAGAAUUCCAGGUGUAGCGGUGAAAUGCGUAGAUAUCUGGAGGAAUACCGGUGGCGAAGGCGGCAUCCUGGACCGGCAUUGACGCUGAUGAGCGAAAGCUAGGGGAGCAAACGGG
rnacentral:rRNA from 1 species